AUUGAUUACGACUUCCCUUCACCACAUUAUUUAGGACUGCGUCGUAGGAGACUGGGACACAUAUCCACUUUGCUGGCUUGAUGAAGUAAACUGCUAAGUUGAGGAAGCCCACAUGGCAAGGAACUGUGGGCAGCCUUCAGCCAACAGGCAGCAAAAAGCUGAGCUCCUCGGAGCUACAGCCUCAAGGAAGUUACUUCUGCUAACAACCUGAAAAAGCUUGGAAGCUAGUUUCUCUCUAGUGGAAUUUUUAGGGAAGAGCAUGGCCCAGGCAAGAUAAAUAAUGCAGGAAACUGCAUAUCUUCUGGUUUACAUGAAGAUGGAGUGCUAAUGGAAAUGCCCAAAACCUUCAGAGAUUGACACGCUGUCAUUUUCCAUUUCCAUUCCUGGAUCUACGGAGUCUUCUAAGAGAUUUUGCAAUGAGGAGAAGCAUUGUUUUCAAACUAUAUAACUGAGCCUUAUUUAUAAUUAGGGAUAUUAUCAAAAUAUGUAACCAUGAGGCCCCUCAGGUCCUGAUCAGUCAGAAUGGAUGCUUUCACCAGCAGACCCGGCCAUGUGGCUGCUCGGUCCUGGGUGCUCGCUGCUGUGCGAGACAUUAGCCCUUUAGUUAUGAGCCUGUGGGAACUUCAGGGGUUCCCAGUGGGGAGAGCAGUGGCAGUGGGAGGCAUCUGGGGGCCAAAGGUCAGUGGCAGGGGGUACUUCAGUAUUAUACAACUGCUGUGACCAGACUUGUAUACUGGCCGAAUAUCAGUGCUGUUUGUAAUUUUUCACUUUGAGAACCAACAUUAAUUCCAUAUGAAUCAAGUGUUUUGUAACUGCUAUUCAUUUAUUCAGCAAAUAUUUAUUGAUCAUCUCUUCUCCAUAAGAUAGUGUGAUAAACACAGUCAUGAAUAAAGUUAU
rnacentral:lncRNA from 1 species